rnacentral:lncRNA from 1 species
GAGUGAUCAGAGAGGCUCCAAAAUUAGAGGGGCUUUAGGCAGCCCCAUGGGUGAGAGGGACGAAAAUUGGACUUCAGAGCUUGUGAGGGAGGAGCUUCCUAGAUCUUCAGCUAGGCUCUGAGGGCAUACAGCCAGGAGUAAAGGCAAAGCAGAAACCAACCAAUGUUUUCAAAAGCUGAAACCCAGCUUUCAAUAAACUCAAUUUAAGAAAGAAAACUGAUAACAAGAAAGAAAACCAUGGCACAUCUAAACGUCUUACAGACCCCAAAAUUAUUGGUGAGCCAGCUGAUGUUGCAGUUACAGUCUGAAGGCAGCAGGUUGUAGUUUCCCAGGAGAGCUAUAGUUCCAGUUUGAAUUUAAAGACCAUUUGCUGUAGGGCAAGGAGGAGCUCGUGUUGCAGAUAAGUCCAAACUCAGUCUACUGGAGAAAUCUCUCUUGCUUAGGGUCAAGGCAGUUCAGGCAGAAGGCAGGCAUCAGCCUGGACACGAGGCGUUACUGUCCCAGGGCAACUCACACACACCCACACUCACUCACACAAGGACCACUGAGGCACGCUGAUGAACUGAAUCUGCACCGUUUCAGGAUGUGGGAGGAAACCGGAUGACCCGGAGAAAAAUCCAUGCAGGCAUGCAGAGAUGUGCAAAUAACACAGACAGUGGCCCAGGCCAGGAAGUGAUUAUUUUUUCUCAUCAAUGUUAUAUUGAAAGAACAUUGAACAAAACGACGUUAUUCAAGGAACAGCUGUAGAAUGCAUAUUUCACAGUGUAGCGUGGUCCCCUCCACAUAAUGCAGGCAUGAACUGCCAAGGUGCUGUGUGUUUACCAUGUUUCAUCCAGUAAGAAACCAUCAUUUCACACUUUCCCCACAUGCCAGGUGGUCACCAUCUUCCUCGCACACUGGACAUACCACCCACAGCAUUUCAGCAAGUGGCUUUGCCUCCACCCAAUGUCUCUGCCUUCCUCUGCCAUUUCCUCACCUUCACAAAACCCAUCUUUCUCAAUCCUCCCCCAAACCUUAGUUCAAUGCAUUCAGAGGUUGCAGCAAGGUGAGAAGGCAAGAACUUUCCCAUGUUAUUCGUGACCUAGUCUUCUUUGAUGUGAUGAAAAUGGCUUUGAAUUCUAGUCCUGCUCCCAAGUCCUCCAUGC